rnacentral:rRNA from 2 species
ACAGGGAUUGCCCUAGUAACGGCGAGUGAAGCGGCAACAGCUCAAAUUUGAAAUCUGGCGUCUUUGGCGUCCGAGUUGUAAUUUGCAGAGGGCGCUUUGGCAUUGGCAGCGGUCCAAGUUCCUUGGAACAGGACGUCACAGAGGGUGAGAAUCCCGUACGUGGUCGCUAGCCUUUACCGUGUAAAGCCCCUUCGACGAGUCGAGUUGUUUGGGAAUGCAGCUCUAAAUGGGAGGUAAAUUUCUUCUAAAGCUAAAUACUGGCCAGAGACCGAUAGCGCACAAGUAGAGUGAUCGAAAGAUGAAAAGCACUUUGGAAAGAGAGUUAAAAAGCACGUGAAAUUGUUGAAAGGGAAGCGCUUGCAGCCAGACUUGCCUGUAGUUGCUCAUCCGGGUUUUUACCCGGUGCACUCUUCUAUAGGCAGGCCAGCAUCAGUUUGGGCGGUUGGAUAAAGGUCUCUGUCACGUACCUCCUUUCGGGGAGAACUUAUAGGGGAGACGUAAUGCAACCAGCCUGGACUGAGGUCCGCGCAUCUGCUAGGAUGCUGGCGUAAUGGCUGUAAGCGGCCCGUCUUGAAACACGGACCAAGGAGUCUAACAUCUAUGCGAGUGUUUGGGUGUCAAGCCCGAGCGCGUAAUGAAAGUGAACGGAGGUGGGAACCUUUCGGGGUGCACCAUCGACCGAUCCUGAUGUCUUCGGAUGGAUUUGAGUAAGAGCAUAGCUGUUGGGACCCGAAAGAUGGUGAACUAUGCUUGAAUAGGGUGAAGCCAGAGGAAACUCUGGUGGAGGCUCGCAGCGGUUCUGACGUGCAAAUCGAUCGUCAAAUUUGGGCAUAGGGGCGAAAGACUAAUCGAACUAUCUAGUAGCUGGUUCCUGCCGAAGUUUCCCUCAGGAUAGCAGUAACGUUUUCAGUUUUAUGAGGUAAAGCGAAUGAUUAGAGGCCUGGGGGUUGAAACAACCUUCACCUAUUCUCAAACUUUAAAUAUGUAAGAAGUCCUUGUUACUUAAUUGAACGUGGACAGUUGAAUGUAUCGUUACUAGUGGGCCAUUUUUGGUAAGCAGAACUGGCGAUGCGGGAUGAACCGAACGCGGGGUUAAGGUGCCAGAAUAUACGCUCAUCAGACACCACAAAAGGUGUUAGUUCAUCUAGACAGCAGGACGGUGGCCAUGGAAGUCGGAAUCCGCUAAGGAGUGUGUAACAACUCACCUGCCGAAUGAACUAGCCCUGAAAAUGGAUGGCGCUCAAGCGUAUUACCCAUACCCCGCCGCUGGGGCAAGAUUUAAGCCCCAGCGAGUAGGCAGGCGUGGAGGUCCGUGACGAAGCCUUGG